CCCUAAAAAAAAUAUUUUCCCUCUUUUUUUUUUUCAAUUGGCCAAACAUUUUCCUUUUUUUUUUUAAUUGGGCAAAACAUUUCCCAAAUUGACAGCUCUCACUUUCCCUUUCCCAAAGACAACUCUCAUUUCCCCCAAAUUAGUGUAGAGAAGAGUAUUUGUCGUGGAGACCAAGAAGUCCCCAAAUUUAUUCAUUUCCACCAACUUAGUGUAGAGAAUUUUGGAUCUAUAGCAUUGUUGAUAGCAAAGAAAUUUUCGUUUUCAAUUUGAUGCUAGUUAGUGAGCUUGCUGGUGGUGUUUUCCCCAAAAAAAGAAAGGCAAGGCUUGCUGACUAAUUAAGAAAAGGGGUCAGUUGAUAAUCCACACAGUGGCGUAGCUACAUAGAUUGAAGGGUGCUUGAUGAUAUAUCUUGGGAUGAGGUCUGCCCUAAUGAUGAUCAUAUAGUGCCACAUCCAAGUAGUCGACUCACCAAUGAACCACUCUCCCAGAAUGAUAGCCGUAAGAAACCUCGCCAUGAAUUAAUUGGUUUAACAGGUAAUGGAGGUGAUCAAUCUACUGGUAAAUAUGCUAAUCUGCAAAAGGAUCAAGUAUUGAGUAAUAAAAGCCCCCAAAUGCUGGAAAAAGAUUCAUGGGCUGAUGCACCUGAUGCUGCAUUCUCUUCUCCACGCUGAGAAUACCAGGACAUCCAAUUUUUCCAUCAAAAGUAAUAAUCUAGAAUCCAUUGAGAGCGAGUCCUGUCUUAAUGGUCGCACUUUAGAUGACAAGAAUGCUGCUGUGGGGGAAAACUCUUAUAACUAUCCACUUUGUCUCAUUUCUCAGGCUGAUCUAGGUUGAAGACAAUUGAUCUAUGUUGAUGAGUUUGAUGUUUUUCUCCUUGAAUAGAUACCGCAAUAACUAUCACAGGGACAGCGAAUACAAGAGAAGUAACAGUAGAAGCAUUGAUCGCUAUGAGCGUGAUAGGUAUAGGCAGAGGGAGCGGGACUAUCGCUAUCAGAGUAGGAGCGGCAUCUUAAGUCCAAACUAUGAUCGAGAUUACGGUAGGGGACGUGACAGAAAACACCGUAGAUGGAGCCCAUCUUUUGAUAGUGCCUCCCUAGCUCGGUGCAGCCCAAGUUCUCUUAGGAAAGAGUCUACUCGUAGAAUCUUAUCACCCAAAAAGAGAAGUCCUGAGAGGCGCAUUCAGUGAAUGCUCUCCAACUCCGCAUAGCCGUUCUCCUCCAGGUCGGGCAAUGGAUUCCCGAAGUCCUUUUCCUCGUGCUGAUGAGUUAUGAUCGAGAGACGGUUGAUGAGGUUGAUGUCAGAUGAUGAUGAUGAUGUGACUGUCAACCCGUAUAGUAGCUUAUAGUUAGUUCGUGAAAUUUGACGAGGCUGAUUGGUAGAUUAUGUGUUGAUUAUUGCUGAUGGUUAGCUGUUGAUAUGCAGCUUUCGAUGCUAUUUGUAGUUAAUGUAUUUGCAAUGCAUAAUAGCAGAUACUGGCUGGAGGUUUUCUAUGUGCACCUGUAUAUAAUAUAUUAGCCAAGUGAUGCGGCUAGUGGACCCAUUUCACCCAUGGAUACAAGGAGAUCACGUGAUGAUAAUGAUACUAAUGACAUUCUUUGAUUUCGUUGCAUUUGUCUUGGAUAUUCAAUUAUGAUGAUGUAAUUGUGUCGUUGUAGUGAAUCUUAGAAUAUUGAAAGUUUUGUGUUUAAAUUUGA